UGAGGAACAUGACCUUCGGCGGGGGAGUAGCCGGCCCAACGGCCGGGUAAUACCGCGUACGACCACAUGGGGACAUCCCUGAGUGGUGAAAGCAGCAAUGCGCCGAUGGAGUGCCUCGCGGCCUAUCAGCUAGUUGGUGAGGUAACGGCUCACCAAGGCGACGACGGGUAGCUGGUCUGAGAGGAUGGCCAGCCACAUUGGGACUGAGACACGGCCCCAGACCUCUACGGGGAGG
rnacentral:rRNA from 1 species